rnacentral:rRNA from 1 species
UACGAGGGGGGCAAGCGUUGUUCGGAUUUAUUGGGCGUAAAGGGUGCGUAGGCGGUUUGGCAAGUCUUAUGUGAAAUCUUCGGGCUCAACCCGAAGCCUGCAUAAGAAACUGCUGUGCUUGAGUGUGGGAGAGGCGCGUGGAAUUGCAGGUGUAGCGGUGAAAUGCGUAGAUAUCUGCAGGAACACCCGUGGCGAAAGCGGCGCGCUGGACCACAACUGACGCUGAGGAACGAAAGCUAGGGGAGCAAACAG